UUCUCCGUUUUGACGGCCACAGCAGCCUUUGAAGAAGCAGGCAGAAGGUUUGGCGGCCCUUGCCUAACGGCGCACAGCCUAGCGGGAAGUUCUCGUGCGCAACGGCCCACGGACUUUCCCUCCUUCCUUCCUUCCUCGAGGCUUGAGCAGGAGAACCUCCCGCUGGACUGAGAUCUCACGUUGCUUUCUGUAGCCCAGGGACAGCUGCGCAGGGACAGGAAACCGGACGGCUCCAUCAGGGCCACUCGGACGGAAGUGCCGUAGCCUCCAACGGUGCUUGCGCCCAGGCUUUGCUUCCUUUCUUUUCCUUUUUAGUCAAUCAGAGAUAGUGACUGUGAAGAACUGCCAGAAUCAACCCUCAACUCCAGAACAAUUGAUCCUGGCCCGGCACAACCCGUGCCUCCCUUAUUAUGGCUGAGUUAAGCCAACACUAACCCUGUAAGCUAAGAUUUCUGCAUGCAACAAACUGCUUUCUCACAGGAAAUGGGCAAGGAGGAGAUGCUUGUUUUUAAAAACAGACAGUAAGGCAAUAUGACAUGUACACCAAAAAAAUUACAUUUUUUGUUCUCUGUUCAAAUCUUCAGGAGCUUUUGAAGACGUACAUUCUCAAGGCAAGUACAUGAGGAAAAGGGAAGGACGAGUCAGACCCAGAACUAAAAAAAACAGGAUUAA